AGUGAACGCUGGCGGUAGGCCUAACACAUGCAAGUCGAACGGCAGCACAGUAAGAGCUUGCUCUUACGGGUGGCGAGUGGCGGACGGGUGAGGAAUACAUCGGAAUCUACUUUUUCGUGGGGGAUAACGUAGGGAAACUUACGCUAAUACCGCAUACGACCUACGGGUGAAAGCAGGGGAUCUUCGGACCUUGCGCGAUUGAAUGAGCCGAUGUCGGAUUAGCUAGUUGGCGGGGUAAAGGCCCACCAAGGCGACGAUCCGUAGCCGGUCUGAGAGGGUGAGUAGGCACACCGGAAAUGGGGCACCGGUCAAGCUCCCACGGGAGGGAGCAGUGGGGAAUAUUUGGCAAUGGGGGCAAGGCUGAACCAGCCAAACCGCGUGGGGGAAGAAGGGCUUUGGGGUGGAAAACCCUUUUGUUGGGGAAGAAAAGCAGCAGGUUUAAAACCCCCCGUUUUGACGGUAACCAAAGAAAAAGCAACGGGUAACUUCGUG
rnacentral:rRNA from 1 species